UACGUAGGGUGCGAGCGUUGUCCGGAAUUACUGGGCGUAAAGGGCUCGUAGGCGGUUUGUCGCGUCGGGAGUGAAAACACACAGCUUAACUGUGUGCUUGCUUCCGAUACGGGCAGACUAGAGGUAUGCAGGGGAGAACGGAAUUCCUGGUGUAGCGGUGAAAUGCGCAGAUAUCAGGAGGAACACCGGUGGCGAAGGCGGUUCUCUGGGCAUUACCUGACGCUGAGGAGCGAAAGUGUGGGGAGCGAACAGG
rnacentral:rRNA from 1 species